rnacentral:rRNA from 1 species
UGCAGAAUCCCGUGAACCAUCGAGUCUUUGAACGCAAGUUGCGCCCGAGGCUAUCCGGUCGAGGGCACGCCUGCCUGGGCGUCAUGCCUCGCGUCGCUCUGCGCACUCUGAGCCACCCUUCGAGCAGGGGCGGUGGCGGGCGCGGAUGCGCAGAUUGGCCCCCCAUGCCUUGCGGCGCGGCGGGCCGAAGUGCAGGCCGCCGGCCGGGAACGGAUGCGGCGAGUGGUGGACGGACACGUACGGCGCCGGACGCUGCCUCCGCCCCCGGCUGCAGCGGUGCAUGCUAGGAACCCAUGCCGUCGGGUGCGCUCGUACGCGCCCCUCGGAACUCGACCCCAGGUCAGGCGGGGCCACCCGCUGAGCUUAAGCAUAUCAAUAAGCGGAGGAGAAGAAACUUACGAGGAUUCCCCUAGUAACGGCGAGCGAACCGGGAAGAGCCCAGCUUGGGAAUCGGGCGGCCGCGCUGCCCGA